rnacentral:rRNA from 1 species
GUGGGGAAUAUUGCGCAAUGGGGGCAACCCUGACGCAGCAACGCCGCGUGCAGGAAGAAGGUCUUCGGAUUGUAAACUGUUGUCGCAAGGGAAGAAGACAGUGACGGUACCUUGUGAGAAAGUCACGGCUAACUACGUGCCAGCAGCCGCGGUAAUACGUAGGUGACAAGCGUUGUCCGGAUUUACUGGGUGUAAAGGGCGCGUAGGCGGAUAAGCAAGUCAGUCGUGAAAUACCGAGGCUCAACCUCGGGGCUGCGAUUGAAACUGUUUACCUUGAGUAUCGGAGAGGAAAGCGGAAUUCCUAGUGUAGCGGUGAAAUGCGUAGAUAUUAGGAGGAACACCAGUGGCGAAGGCGGCUUUCUGGACGACAACUGACGCUGAGGCGCGAAAGUGUGGGGAGCAAACAGGAUUAGAAACCCUAGUAGUCC